rnacentral:rRNA from 1 species
CCAUGUCCAGGAUGAAGCUGCCGUAAGAGGCAGUGGAGGUCCGGACCCACAUCCGUUGAAAAGGGUGGGGAUGAGGUGUGGGUAGGGGAGAAAUUCCAAUCGAACCCGGAGAUAGCUGGUUCUCCUCGAAAUAGCUUUAGGGCUAGCCUCGGUCAUGAGUCUUGUGGAGGUAGAGCACUGAAUUUCCUAGGGGGCGUCAAAGCCUACCGAAGAAUAUCAAACUCCGAAUGCCAUGUAGACAGGACCGGGAGUCAGACUGCACGAGAUAAGUUGGGCAGUCAAAAGGGAAAGAGCCCAGACCUUCAGUUAAGGUCCCAAAGUGUACGUUAAGUGGAAAAGGAUGUGGGGUCUCGAAGACAACCAGGAUGUUGGCUCAGAAGCAGCCAUUCAUUCAAAGAGUGCGUAAUAGCUCACUGGUCGAGAGGCCCUGCGCCGAAAAUGUCCGGGGCUGAAACGUACCACCGAAACUAAGGGAUCCGCAAGGAUCGGUAGAGGAGCAUUGCAUGCGGAAGGAAGCAGUACCGUAAGGAGCUGUGGACUGCAUGGAAGAGAGAAUGCCGGAAUGAGUAGCGAGAUAAAGGUGAGAAUCCUUUAGGCCGAAUAUCCAAGGUUUCCAGGGUAAAGCUGAUCUGCCUGGGUAAGUCGGGGCCUAAGGCGAGGACGAGAGUCGUAGCCGAUGGACAACAGGUGGAGAUUCCUGUACUGCGGUAUGACAGAACUGUGGGGACACGUAAGGAAAGCGGAAGCCGGGAAUGGAAAGCCCGGUGCAAGCAGGGUACCAGACACUCAGGCAAAUCCGGGUGUCAAUGGGAAGCUGUGAUGCGGAGCGAAAUACAAGUAGCGAAGUCCGUGAGCCAUGCGUCAAGAAAAGCCGCUAUUGUUUAUACCGUACCCGUACCGUAAACCGACACAGGUGGAUGAGGAGAGAAUCCUAAGGCCGGCGGAAGAAGCAUUGUCAAGGAACUCGGCAAAAUGACCCCGUAACUUCGGGAGAAGGGGUGCCACUGAGAAGUGGCCGCAGAGAAUAGGCUCAAGCAACUGUUUAGCAAAAACACAGGUCUAUGCGAAACCGAAAGGUGAGGUAUAUGCUGACGCCUGCCCGGUGCUGGAAGGUUAAGAGGAGAGGUUAGCGCAAGCGAAGCUUUGAAUUUAAGCCCCAGUAAACGGCGGCCGUAACUAUAACGGUCCUAAGGUAGCGAAAUUCCUUGUCGGGUAAGUUCCGACCCGCACGAAAGGCGUAAUGAUUUGAGCGCUGUCUCGACAAUGCAUCCGGUGAAAUUGAAGUACCAGUGAAGAUGCUGGUUACCUGCGCCAGGACGGAAAGACCCCAUGGAGCUUUACUCCAGUUUGGUACUGGGGUCCGGUAUUGCAUGUACAGGAUAGGUGGGAGGCU